rnacentral:rRNA from 1 species
CGCUGGCGGCGUGCUUAACACAUGCAAGUCGAACGAUGAACCUCCUUCGGGAGGGGAUUAGUGGCGAACGGGUGAGUAACACGUGGGCAAUCUGCCCUUCACUCUGGGACAAGCCCUGGAAACGGGGUCUAAUACCGGAUACGACCUCCGACCGCAUGGUCUGGUGGUGGAAAGCUCCGGCGGUGAAGGAUGAGCCCGCGGCCUAUCAGCUUGUUGGUGGGGUGAUGGCCUACCAAGGCGACGACGGGUAGCCGGCCUGAGAGGGCGACCGGCCACACUGGGACUGAGACACGGCCCAGACUCCUACGGGAGGCAGCAGUGGGGAAUAUUGCACAAUGGGCGAAAGCCUGAUGCAGCGACGCCGCGUGAGGGAUGACGGCCUUCGGGUUGUAAACCUCUUUCAGCAGGGAAGAAGCGAGAGUGACGGUACCUGCAGAAGAAGCGCCGGCUAACUACGUGCCAGCACCGCGGUAAUACGUAGGGCGCAAGCGUUGUCCGGAAUUAUUGGGCGUAAAGAGCUCGUAGGCGGCUUGUCGCGUCGGUUGUGAAAGCCCGGGGCUUAACCCCGGGUCUGCAUUCGAUACGGGCAGGCUAGAUUCGGUAGGGGAGAUCGGAAUUCCUGGU